rnacentral:rRNA from 1 species
ACGUUAGCGGCGGACGGGUGAGUAACACGUGGGUAACCUACCUAUAAGACUGGGAUAGCUUCGGGAAACCGGAGCUAAUACCGGAUAAUAUUUCGAACCGCAUGGUUCGAUAGUGAAAGGUGGUUUUGCUAUCACUUAUAGAUGGACCCGCGCCGUAUUAGCUAGUUGGUAAGGUAACGGCUUACCAAGGCGACGAUACGUAGCCGACCUGAGAGGGUGAUCGGCCACACUGGAACUGAGACACGGUCCAGACUCCUACGGGAGGCAGCAGGC